GCGAUGAACCAGACUGCCGCGGAAGGCGGGGAAUUUUCGCCGUCCUUCUGAGGAAAGUCCGGGCUCCGCAGGGCAUGAUGCCGGGUAACUCCCGGGCGGUAUGGGUGAAAAUCCGUGCCGACAGAAAGCGCAACAGAAAAUAAACCGCCGUUUUGAUUUGCGGGUAACCCGAAUAAAAACGGUAAGGGUGAAACGGCGGGGUAAGAGCCCGCCCCGGCGUCGGCAACGCCGCCGGAAAGAUUUCGGAGUAGUCCGGUACAGGGAGCGCCUCAGGGCAGCCCCGGUUCUUUGGCUUUCCGAAAACGGCAAGCCUCAUCAGGAGCAAAGUCAAGCAGCGGCGGGCGGGAAGACGGAAGUUUUCCCGCAGAAACGGCCCGUUUCGCGCCGCGGGUAGACUGCACAGACGUUGGCCGCAAGGACUGCGCAAGAUAGAUGGUAGUUUGACAUUAAAACGCCGCAGGGUGUUUAAUGUAACAGAACCCGGCUUACCGGUUCAUCGCUUUU
rnacentral:RNase_P_RNA from 1 species